GAAUGAAGCUUAGUUGUUUUGGGUUAAAUUAUAUAUCUCUAGAAAAACAAUGAAUGGCUUCCUUCUAGAGUUUUUUUGAUGCGGGGCAUUUUGGCAUGUUCCUGCAGAAGGGCACUUUGGCACAGAACAGUACAUGCCAAGCUCCCAAACAGGCGCCUAGGGCAUGUGGCCUUCUGUCCAAGGGCAGCAGCAGUGUUUUUUUUGUCCAAAACUUGUUUCCAGCAGUCCUAAUUCACCUUGAACUUCUUAUUUUAUCAAGCAACAGCAGUGGAAAUUAGCUUAGAAUUAAUUUAGGGGCAUUCCAACUCUAUUUGGGAUUUAUUUAUGUUUUCCUAUUCUAUCUAGGAUUAGUUUAAUUACUAUUUUAUUUAUAUCUUCUUAUUGUAUUUAGCUUUAGCUAAACUUCCUAAUUGAUAGUUUCAUAUUCCUAUUAGGUUUGGGAGUCUAAAAGCUCUGUAAAUACCCUUUAUUUACAUGUAUUUCAGUUAAUAAAAAAAAUCCUGCAGAGAAUUUCUCUCAAUUUUCACUUGUGUGUGUGAGAGUGUGAGUUGUUUCUUAAGCUUCAUGCUGCAUUAUCUCUCUCUCUUGAAACAAUCUUUUUGUUGCCCACCAAUCAGAUGCCUGGAUCAUAGCAGAUACCAGCAUUGCAUAGCAUUGAGCUCAAAAGAUGACUAGAGCGCUAGCAGGGUGUUAAACUUUGGGAGUAGGCAGCUUGGGGCUAAACCUGGUGAAUUUUAGAUGAGCUUGGUACUUGUUGAUGUAGGAUACAACUAUGCUUGAGAGUGCUCAAUGGAUAGUGUAAGGAGGUAUGUGCUGAUGUUUGAGUUUAUGCUUUGGAGCUUUGCAUGCCAUUCUAAUCUUCCUCAGCUGAUGAGUGCUCUUCAUCAAUCGACUUCUUAUAGGUGUGAGGUUCUUGCCCUGUAGUCAUCAUGUCAUAGGUUUUCAUCUGAUGACCACAAACCAAUUUGUGGGGUCUGUGGCUGACUUUAAGCUUGUUCUAGGCUUUAACAUGUAGAAUCAUCCAUACAAGGAACAAUUGCCUCAUUCUAGCAGAUUCAACUAGAUCACGGCUCUCAGUAUGUUUCUUGCCACUCUCUUUAACUUUUUCUUCACUGAGAUUAUUUGCUUCAAUUCCAUUUGCGUGUAAUGCCCCUUUAGCCCAGAUAACUUAGGCUUGGUAAUCACAGGCACUUCCAAUGGUAACAAUGUUUUUAACAAUAUUUUUGAGAGCAAGGUUUGGGUGACACAUGGAACAUUUCAAUUGUCAGAUUCUCUCUCAUUUUCUUCUGAAUCCAUAAAGUUAUUCAAGCAGCAGCUAUGCCAUGUUUGCUUGCCUCUUUCUUUUCUUCUUGUGUCAAUCACUGGUUGGCAGUCCAUUUUUCUCCUGACAUUGGUUGUUAAAUAUGGUUCUUAAGCAAAACGUAUGCAUAUGAUACUUGUUCCUGAACUCAUACUUUUGAUUUAUUGCAGUGGAAUCCUUAUAGAGACCUUGGC
rnacentral:misc_RNA from 1 species